CUAGCUGCGAUAACUAGUGCGAAUUGCAGACACAUUGAGCACAAAAAUUUCGAACGCAAAUUGCGCCAUCGGGUUUAUUCCCCUUGGCACGUCUGGCUGAGGGUCGGU
rnacentral:rRNA from 1 species